AGUAACACGUGAGUAACCUGCCCUUGACUCUGGGAUAACUGCUAGAAAUGGUAGCUAAUACCGGAUACGACCCUCGGCCGCAUGGUCAGGGGGUGGAAAGAAUUUUGGUCAAGGAUGGACUCGCGGCCUAUCAGGUAGUUGGUGAGGUAAUGGCUCACCAAGCCUACGACGGGUAGCCGGCCUGAGAGGGUGACCGGCCACACUGGGACUGAGACACGGCCCAGACUCCUACGGGAGGCAGCAGUGGGGAAUAUUGCACAAUGGGCGAAAGCCUGAUGCAGCAACGCCGCGUGAGGGACGACGGCCUUCGGGUUGUAAACCUCUUUUAGUAGGGAAGAAGCGAAAGUGACGGUACCUGCAGAAAAAGCACCGGCUAACUACGUGCCAGCAGCCGCGGUAAUACGUAGGGUGCAAGCGUUGUCCGGAAUUAUUGGGCGUAAAGAGCUCGUAGGCGGUUUGUCGCGUCUGCUGUGAAAUCCGGAGGCUCAACCUCCGGCCUGCAGUGGGUACGGGCAGACUAGAGUGCGGUAGGGGAGAUUGGAAUUCCUGGUGUAGCGGUGGAAUGCGCAGAUAUCAGGGGGAACACCAAUGGCGAAGGCAGAUCUCUGGGCCGUAACUGACGCUGAGGAGCGAAAGCAUGGGGAGCGAACAGGAUUAGAUACCCUGGUAGUCCAUGCCGUAAACGUUGGGAACUAG
rnacentral:rRNA from 1 species